rnacentral:lncRNA from 1 species
GUGUCUGCCCCAUUCAACGAACGCUGCGCAUGGUGGAGGCCAGAGGCGCGCCAUUGUCAUGCGUUUCGUUACCGCAGGUGACCCUAGCUUCCCUCGUCUAUUUAGAAAGCUGCGACCGAAGCCUAAGCUAUUCACCUCUCCGUGCUCCUCGCGUCCGCCACCCUAGAAAGAUCACGGGAGCCCUCGGUGUGGUGUCCGCGCAGAAGUUAGGGGGGCACCACGGAUUGUGGUGUAGCGUCUUCACAUCGGCGAGGACGCAUACCCUAGGAGCAUCGCAAGAUCACACCAAGCGUACCCGUGGAGGUGGUGGGCUCUGACGGUAGGGGUAGAAGAGUGGAUUGCUCGCCGGAGUUCAACGAGAGCCUCCGUCCGCCCCACGCCCGGUUCUGCGCGCACGUCAUCACGAUUUUCGGUACGAACCCCUUUCAUAGUUUAGAAUUGAUCCUCGCUUUGUUUAGAUGGGUCCUGCGUAGAGAAUCAAGAACCGUAUCAAUGUCAGGGCUGUCGCCGGUGAUGUUCCGCCAUAUGGGGACGGUGGCGCCGCCAUUCAAAACGAAACGGGUGAGGAAAAAUGGCGUAUGCCGUUGAUGAGCAAGCGAAUGGCUGGGAUUAUCCGGCGCGUACCCGUUCGGCGGUGUCAAUCCGGACCGUCCAUCUCUGAUCGAGCGCAUGUGAUUCACCGUGGGCAACGUAAGAUCCGGACGGUUGAACUAAGAUCCUAGGGCCAAAUAUGCGUACCAGUUCACUUAAUGCGACAUCUAAUCAUGGCCCUCAGAAUGAGAUCCAAUGGCUAGAAUCCAUCCAUACUCUCGGUCGCGACAGAUUUACAUCUGAGGCCCUCAGGAUUCGCUAAAUAGAACCCGCAAUCCACCCAGGUGUUGUCUGAGUCUUGGAAAACUUUGCAAGUUAACCCUUGUGCUAUUUGGUAUUUAAUGUGCAGUCCAACAGCCAGGGAAUUAAGAAAAAACAAUAUUAGAAGUUGAUUUUAAUACAAAAAUGAAUCCAGAAAAUUGUAUAAUUCAUAUUUAAUUCAUUUGAAGUCCAAAUUAAUCCAUUCUAGUUUCUAUAAUUUUGUAAUAUUAUUGUUUAUCAGAUAGUGUCUCUGUUUUGACAUGAAAAUCAUAUUAAAUGUAUCUCUUAAUUAAUCUUGUAUAAAAACAUAAAACCUUAAGAAAAUCAUAACCCCUUCGUUUUAAUUCUGAAUUGACUCGUUCCAGUUGCGUUAUCUUUGUAAUAAAAUUUCCUACUCAGAAACAACACUAUUUGUGUCAUAUCCAAUACUUUUAUAAUUAGAUCUUUAUUUAACUUAUGUUGGUUAGUCUUGUUAAUCUGGUUAACAUUAUAAUCUACUAAAAUAUGAUCUAUGGUCAAUUUAUAAUUUAGAUUAAAGUUGAAUUAAUUACUACUGUAGGUUAUCUUUUCUCUGGAAUUAUAAAAUAAACAUAGAACCUAGUUUUAAUCAUUUAAUCCCAUCAUAACUUGAUGACCGUAACUCCGAAUUUAGUGAUUCUCAUCCCAACGAUCUCCUAGCAAUGCGUAUAUUAUUAUUAUGCAGUAUGUUCUUAUGUCUUGUGAGAUGUUAAUUUUGUCUAUACCAUGUUUGUUUGUAUUGCUACGACUAGCAGUGAGGACACGAGGAUCUAAGGAUCAUCCUGGUACCUGGAAUCUCAAGUCCCAGGCAAGUUGUGCCCUUGAUCACUUUUGCUUACCCAAUAAUGUUCUUUAUAAUCAUUUAUUCAUGCAUAGGUUUAAUUUUGAUGGGACCCAAUAGAUCACCCUAGUCUGAUUAUCUAUUUUACCUUGUUUAUCCCUGAAUCAUUUGGGUAGUUAUGCUAUUGCUUUACAUGGUUUUAGGUUAAUAUUUCAUUAUAUCCAUGUUCCAAUUAUUUUGUUAUUUUAUUUAUGUUCAUGUCAAGAUCAUUAUCUUUAAUUGGAACAUGGAGCUUAACUUGAGAAACACGUGCCACCACAAGGGUGGAAUGGGACGCCCUUGGCUGACUAAUUAGGAAAGCUAGUGGAAGACUACCUUACCCAAAAGGGGCACGGGCAGUAGGGGAGUUGCAUGCAGGGAGGUUCUCGGGUUAAUUUUGCUGCGAUGGCGGUCAGACGAGGGAUUCUUGCAAGUGCUCUUCCCAUAAACUGUAGCGGGUUUUUGGAAGCUAGUGGAACUUUGUAAAGGCCUCGUAGUGGAUCCCUAGCCAUUCACCUUGGUAGUGUCUAAGGGUCUAGCUAACCCUGGCGAUAUGGGAUACACGACUUGUGGGUAUAGGGUACAACCUCUAUAGAGUGUAAAACUGGUAUACUAGCUGAGCUCACGGUCAAGAACAGCUCAGGACUCUCGCAUGAUUAAAUUAUGGAACUAAAUUCAUUUUGUCGUUUGCAUUGCAUGGGAUUUGUUAUUAAUUUUGUUCUAUUAUUAUUAUGGUUUGGUAUUUACUUACAUCUAGUAAUUGCUAAUAAAAUUUUGACCAACUUUAAAAGCAAUGCUCAGCUUUAACCACUCUCUUGGGUAAGCCUUACACUUCACUUGAGCUCCCACCUUUGGCGAGUUCAUGCACAUUAUUCCCCACAACUUGUUGAGCAAUGAACGUGUGUGAGCUCACCCUUGCUGUCUCACCCCCCCCCACAGGAGAAGUACAUGUGCUUCAAGAGGAGCCACACAACGAGGAGUUCGACUUGAUCUAGGUGGCGUCUCCCAGUUGACUUUAUGGCACCAAGGAUGGACUUUAGUUUGUUUUAUAUUUAUCUUUUAUUUUGUAAGACUUCCUCUAUGUAACAAGUAUUCUGAUUAUAUUGUGACAUUCAUCCCUAAACACUCUGUUCUUAUAUGUGUUGUCUUCUUUGGCGCAUAUAUGAGAUGCACCUGGCUUUGUCCCUUAAAUCCGGGUGUGACAGCGGCGAGAUUUCUCAUCGACGUUCACCACUGCCGCAGAUCCGCCUCGCGGCGUGGUCAGCACUGCUGUCGCCUCCAACCGUCGGUAUGACCCUUUCAUUGAGUUCGCAUUAGCCCUUGUGUCGUUUUGCGCUUGUUCGUCAUCCGCGCGGUGGGCACUUGUCUCAUCGGCGAAGCUUCGCCGUGGCGGCCGCCGUGGUGACACACCUCUUCGCCUGUGAUCAUCGGGGGUGGGGGAAAGGGGACAAGAGGUGGGGUUACAUUGGGUCGUCAAUCGUGGAUCGGAUGACUAGGGGUCUGUUUGGUUGGGCUGUGGCUGUGGAAAAAGUUGCUGUGAGCUGUGAGCUGUGGAAAAAGCUGCUGUAGGCUGUGUGCUGUUAAAAAGCUAAAAAUCGUUUGGUGGAAACCACUAAAAGUCGUUAAAAUUUCUUCGAUAUAUGUUUUCACAGUUCCAUCCAAAAGCCACUAAAAGCAGGUCCAGGGGUGCUUUCAGUUUUGCACUACGAGAAAGUCGGCUUUUAGAAAAAGCUGCUUCCUGGAUCCAGCCCUUUGGUUGGCUUUUGGCUUUUAGGGGGCAAAAGCCAAAGCCAAAAGCCAAACCAAACACACCCUAGAAGCGGGUUAUGGUGUACCGCUUAGGGACAAUUGAUCAGAGCCCUUAGAUCGAUAUCUGGUGGUUCCGAAUAGGCUUAGAUUCAUUAAAUCCUCUCUGUUGAUCCCAGAUCUGACGGGCAGCGAAGCAUACCGGUUCGGUAAAAGGCUGAGAUCUAUCUGGGCCACGAGAUCCAAUUCCAAUGGCUGAGAGGGAUCAAUACCCCUUCAGCCUAGUUUUUUGCAAUGGAGACCCUAUGGUUUCUCAGAAUCAACCCGCUGUCUACCUAGACUCAAGAAUCAUUGCAGAGAGGUCCAUCGAUUUAUAGAACCGCCCCUGAAAUUCUAAAGAAUAGUUGUUGUGAUCCAGGAAUUUUUGUUUAAUGAUAAAAUUAAUUAUAAAAUGAUUUUUAAUAUAGAAAUAAUUUCAAAAUGUUGUUUAAUUCCUAGUUAAUUCAUUUUAACUCCUUUUUGAUCCAUUCCAGUUGCGUUAAAUUCAUAUUAAUAUUUUUUAUCAUCUAGCAACAUUAUUUUGUCAUGAAACAUAGGUUUAAAAAGUAUGCACUCAAUUUAUUCCAUAUACAACACUUAAACUUCGGAAAAUCAUAACUCUUUAACCGUAACUCCGAAUUUAGUGGUUCUUGAACCCACAAUUUCGUUACAAUGUGUAGAUAAUUAUUAUUUGAUAUGUUCUCAUGAUUGGUGUGAUGUUAAUUUUUUUGCCUAUACCAUGUUUGUUUGUAAUGCUACGAGUAGCAGCGAGGUUAC